rnacentral:rRNA from 1 species
UACGUAGGGUGCGAGCGUUAAUCGGAAUUACUGGGCGUAAAGUGUGCGCAGGCGGCCGCGCAAGUCGAGUGUGAAAUCCCCGAGCUUAACUUGGGAAUUGCGCUCGAAACUACGUGGCUGGAGUGUGGCAGAGGAAGGUGGAAUUCCACGUGUAGCGGUGAGAUGCGUAGAUAUGUGGAGGAACACCGAUGGCGAAGGCAGCCUUCUGGGCCAACACUGACGCUCAUGCACGAAAGCGUGGGGAGCAAACAGG